rnacentral:tRNA from 1 species
GUGGAUAUAGCUCAGUGGUGGAGUACAUGCUUAGCAUGCACGAAGUCCUGGGUUCCAUCUCCAGUACCUCCA